UCCCUGGUGGUCCAGUGGUUAAGACUUCAGCUUCCACUGCAGGAGGUUCAGGCUCGAUCCCUGUUCAGGGAG
rnacentral:tRNA from 1 species